rnacentral:rRNA from 1 species
AUUGAACGCUGGCGGCAGGCCUAACACAUGCAAGUCGAACGAGUGGCGGACGGGUGAGUAAUGUCUGGGAAACUGCCCGAUGGAGGGGGAUAACUACUGGAAACGGUAGCUAAUACCGCAUAUCAUCGGAUGUGCCCACAUGGGAUUAGCUGGUUGGUGGGGUAACGGCUCACCAGGGCGACGAUCCCUAGCUGGUCUGAGAGGAUGACCAGCCACACUGGAACUGAGACACGGUCCAUCCUCCUACGUGAGGCAGCAUGGGGAAAUAUUGCCCAAUGGGCGAAAGCCUGAUGCAGCCAGGCCGCGUGUAUGAAGAAGGCCUUCGGGUUGUAAAGUACUUUCAGCGGGGAGGCGUUACCCGCAGAAGAAGCACCGGCUAACUCCGUGCCAGCAGCCGCGGUUAUUC